rnacentral:rRNA from 1 species
AACGAACGCUGGCGGCAUGCCUAACACAUGCAAGUCGAACGAGACCUUCGGGUCUAGUGGCGCACGGGUGCGUAACGCGUGGGAACCUGCCUUUAGGUUCGGAAUAACUCAGAGAAAUUUGAGCUAAUACCGGAUAAUGUCUUCGGACCAAAGAUUUAUCGCCUUUAAGAUGGGCCCGCGUUGGAUUAGCUAGUGGUGGGUAAGCCUACCAAGGCGACGAUCCAUAGCUGGUCUGAGAGGAUGAUCAGCCACACUGGGACUGAGACACGGCCCAGACUCCUACGGGA